GCCGGAGUACAAGUUUCACACUCAAACAGUUGUACUCGAUCAAAAUAAAUGUUUUGAAACCCUCUGAUAAAAGAUAAAAAAAGGAAAAAGAAAUAUACUAAAUAAAAAAAAAAGUAUAAAGAGAAACAAUAUAAAAAUAAAAGCAAUGGGGUUUUGAUAUUAUCGUCUAUCCGGGUGCUUCUUUUAAUUCCACAAUUGUGCCAAUUCGGAGUUACCUUACUGACUCAGAGCGAAAACAGGAAUACACUAAUAUGUGCAACCUGGCAAUUGGGAAUUUUCUAUACACAGAAUGACAAAAAGUAUGAGUUUGUGGAGAUUGUGAAGGUAAACGACUAAACGCAUCAUAUGCAGGUGGGAUGUGGCUUUAUUUCACCUUUCAAGCCAGGAAUACUGAUGAUACAAUAAAGAUGUUUCAAGCAUUGGUGUGGGACGAAAUUGGUGGAACCCCGAGUGUAGAAUUUUGCAGGCUUAAGAAAUCGUUAAUUGAUAAAGGUGAUGGAGGACCUCCUCACUCCAGUGUUGAUGUGGAAGCUGCACAGUAACCUGAUUUCAUCCAUCUGUUUGGGCUCAUUUCAAUCUUCUGUGUUCAUAGCUAUUAUUAAGAAUGUUAACAUGUGUUCUACUGUUUUUAGCAAGAGCUCGAUAUGGAAUCUUAUGGUGUUAUGCUUCUAGUUAGAAGUUUGGUAUUGGUGACAUAUGUUUUACUUUUACUAAGAAAAUCAGAGAGAAUGUUGUGUAUCCUUCUUGGUUAUGUAUGACUCUGAUGAUUCUGAUUUUGACCUUCUGAACGGUACCAAGGUGGACCCCAAGGCUGAGACCAGUAUUACAGGGAGUUGGAUGUAGCUACUUAUACUAUUUUUGUGUGCUUUACUUUGUUAUUCAUUAACAUUACUUUUAAUUGUUUGGUGUUGGGUUGUGCAAUAGGGUUCCAAUAUCUCUGUCUAUCCAGGUGCUUCUUUUAGUUCCUCAAUUGUGCCAAUACGGAGUUACCAAACUGAUCAAAAGAAACAACAGAAAUAUACUGAGCUGUGCAACUUGGCAAUUGUAAUUUUUAAUUCACAGAAUCUAAAAAGUGUGAGUCCGCGGAUAUUGUGAAGGUAAGCACAUCAUUUGCUGCUGGGGCGUGGUAUUAUUUCACCUUGCAAGCCAAGGAUAUUGAUAUUGACACUGACGCUUGUGAUGCAAUAAAGACCUUUCAAGCAUCGGUUAGGAACAGAAUUGAUGGAACCAGCAGGGUGGAGUUUUGCAGGCUUAAGAAAUCUUUAAAUAAUGAAGUUGGACAGAAGUUGGAGCAUUAGGCUUGGAAACUUUCAGAAAUGCAAGGAGAAGGUUGCAUACUGUGCACCCUCCAUAGCGGCUGAGCCAUGUUAUAGCAAGGGGUGUCAGUUGACACCACUUCGUGGAAAAAAUAUAUUGUGUAGAUAGGUUUAAUUUUUUUUAUAUGCAUAUAUACUAUAUGUUGACUCCCCUUGAUUUUUCUUUUGUAUGUUUACAUUUAUAUAUUUUGACACCUCUUAAUGAAAAUUCUGGCUCCGCCACUAACCCAUAGCCAGAGAACACUUCCUCUAUGGAUUAAGCCCAUAGUAGAGGAAGCUUUAACUCAGGGAGGAUAGAGUCAUUUGAAGAGGAAAAGUGUUUUGCUAAUGUUGUUCCAUUAAAAAGCACAAUUUUCUGUUAGUUUUAGGUCUUCUCUUCCUGCUUUGGACCAAAAGUAUUCACUUUUUACAAACAGGUAAGAUUAUUUAUAUUCAAUGGUAUAUAAUGAGGACCAAAAUGAAUCUACACCCAUCGAUAAGGGACUAUUUUGGUCAUUACCUCAGCCUGUAACUCUAGAAAUGUGUUUAAACUUCAACAUGUUAAUCCUUCUCAUCUUAAAUUUUUUUGGUAACAAAUCAAUAUCAUGCUCUGGAAUGAGAGAUAUCAAUAUCACUUCAUUAUUUUCCCAAAUAAACUGUAGAGUUUUCAAAGACAAAAAAAUCAUAUCUCAAUUGAACCUAGUAACUAAGAUGAGCUAUGAGUUCAUUAGCAAGUUCAAAAUUUA